AACGAACGCUGGCGGCAGGCCUAACACAUGCAAGUCGAACGGGCGUAGCAAUACGUUAGUGGCGCACGGGAGAGUAACGCGUGGGAACCUACCUUUUGGUUCGGGAUAAAGUCGGGAAACUGACGAUAAUACCGGAUAAGACCCAUGGGGGAAAGAUUUAUCGCCGAUAGAUGGGCCCGCGUUAGAUUAGCUAUUUGGUGAGGUAAUGGCUCACCAAGGCAACGAUCUAUAGCUGGUCUGAGAGGAUGACCAGCCUCACUGGGACUGAGACACGGCCCAGACUCCUACGGGAGGCAGCAGUGGGGAAUAUUGGACAAUGGGGGAAACCCUGAUCCAGCCAUGCCGCGUUAAUGAUGAAGGCCUUCGGGUUGUAAAGUUCUUUUGGUGGGGACGAUGAUGACGGUACCCACAGAAUAAGCUCCGGCUAACUUCGUGCCAGCCGCCGCCGUAA
rnacentral:rRNA from 1 species